rnacentral:rRNA from 1 species
AAUGAACGUUGGCGGCAUGGAUUAGGCAUGCAAGUCGAGCGAGAAGUGUAGCAAUACACGGAAAGCGGCGGAAGGGAGAGUAAUACGUGGGAAUCUGCCCUUAGACCUGGGAUAGCAGCGGGGAAACUGCUGGUAAUACCAGAUAAUGUCUAUGGACCAAAGGUGUGAUUCCGUCUAGGGAUGAGCCCACGUCCUAUUAGCUAGUUGGUAGGGUAAUGGCCUACCAAGGCGAUGAUGGGUAGCGGGUGUGAGAGCAUGACCCGCCUCACUGGGACUGAGACACUGCCCAGACACCUACGGGUGGCUGCAGUCGAGAAUCUUCGGCAAUGGCGCAAGCCUGACCGAGCGAUGCCGCGUGCGGGAUGAAGGCCUUCGGGUUGUAAACCGCUGUCGAGGGGGAGCAACUUCCAUAGAGUUAUCUUUAUGGAUUGAGUGAUCCCUGGAGGAAGGACGGGCUAAGUUCGUGCCAGCAGCCGCAGUAAAAC